GGCACAGUUAAUGCGAGGGGGCUGUAAUUUGGAGGAAUAAGGGAGGUCUUGAGCUACUGCGAAGGCUCAGCUCGGAAACUCUGAGCCUCUGUCAUUAUUAAUGGGGGGGCACUGGAGAGAGGAUUGCUCAGCUAAGAGCAAGAGGCAGUGGAGGGAUACAAAUCGAGAUGAGCAGCAGCUGACUCGGCAAAACUGCUCAAUGACUUUGCAAAAGACCCGUCACAACGGAUAAACGGCCCCCCCUGAAGAGGCAGCUUAGCAUUCCUGCAGUGCACACAAUUAUUUCCAGGGACGAGAUUGAGAGGGAGGAGAAAGAAAGAGGAAAGAAGAUCAAAAGACGCCUUUAAUGACUCUGCAGACAUUUCUUAAACGAGCGAUUGGGAAGAAGAGAGCCGUAAAAGAAAAACCAAAACAAGGAAUGCAGGCACUUCAUUUUAAGCUCUGGCCACUGGGCGAGCAUCCACCACGCUGCCCUUUUCCUGCUCAUGAAAAAUGUACAUCACCCCCAGGGGUCCAGGCUGCCUGAGGGACCUAAGAGCCUUAAAGUACCAACAGCCCACAUUUCUUGAAGGCAGACUUUCAGUUUACAGGCAACUAAUCCUCACUGCAUCGGCUCCAACAGACGGGCACAAUCAAUUCAGGGAGAGCAAGCAACGCCAGGUCUGCUCAAUCUUCUCUCAACGAGCAGCAGAGGAGAGGCGGUGGGNGGGGGGGGGAGGAGACGGAAAGAAAGACAGAGAAUGCAGACAUCCCUGCUCCCAAGAUAGCUUAGCAGAGGCAAAGACGAAAAGACAAGUUGAAAUACAUAUCCUGGCAGAUGGAAGCGUUUGCUGUCGGAGGGAGAGGCUGAAACACCACGAAGACACAAAGCGCACCCAGCCUCCGGGCGCUGAGGAGUGUCUAAGGGAGCCAGGCAGACGGAAAAGGGUGUAUGUCGAAACAAAGGAACUGGGCACAGCACCUCUAGGGAGGAAAGAGGUCUGGAUUUGCUGAGGUCUCCACCGUCUAUGAUCUAUAGCAUAGCGUGAAGAGCGAGUUAAUUACUGCGCUUAGGUAAUUACGUCUCAGAGAAACCAGUGCCUUCCAGAGCAGCAUUAAUUUACACUGCUAGAUCUUUCUAGGCUUGACUGGCCAUAUGGGGAGAAGUCACACUGGAACAGUGGCUUAACAGCGGCAGGAAGAAAAUAAAUGAAAAUGAGCUAGAAAUAAGAGGCCCUGGAAUUGACAGUGUUCUCGGUUUUCUAUUUUUGGACGCAAAGGGCAGGACGAGAUGCUUCCUUCAUUUACCAGCAGCGCUUCAUCCCCCAACAGCUCAGGCCCCCCUCCAUCCCCUUGCUCCAAGCGUGGGCAAUAACUUAAUGUGCUUUGACUCCUCUGACUUUCCUUGGCACUCGCUUCUCUCCCAUGGCCACUACAUCUUCCCUUCUGAGCCCCUGAAUAAUGUAUUUGUCUACAGUGGAGGGCAUCAAAAGGGCUUGUGUGGAUAACAGUUGUCCCUCUCCUGAUUCAUUAAAGACCCUCCCUGUUCUCCGAGAUCCAUCUUCUCCCUGCCACGGUUGUGAGACAGGUUCUCUGGGCCAAGGAACUCAUCAUCCAUCGUUAGGCUGUUCCUCUCCUCUUCUGAGAAGGAAUGCUACUAUUUAAGAAUGGGAAGAUGAAAGCAUUUCUUGUC
ensembl:lncRNA